rnacentral:lncRNA from 1 species
GUCUCAAGUGUAAUUGGACCAGAGGUCCUUCAAUGGAGUUUCACGGCUUUUCUCCGGCAAGUCUUUGAAGCCUUGGGUCCUUGCCAAGCUCCGAUGAGUCGUUCAGGCUUUCUCGCCAUUUCUGAGGCCUUUUUUGAAAACCCUAAUGAUUCGAGGUUCUUUUAUACUUUUCUCUGUGUUAUUUUACGAUCUUCUUUGAGUACUAACUAUUUUCUGAUUUUUUUUUAAAGCGUUUCUCGUCUUUUUCUUCGCCUAGUCGUGUUUUCAAAGACUGUUCAUCUCUUUCAAAAUCUAGGGUUUUUUGUGGCCUAUCUGACUCUUUGAUUUUGUUGUUUAUUUUUUGCUACUAUGUGUCCUUCUCCACAAUUUUGAGCCUUUUCUUAUUUAGCUCUAAAUGUUUUGCCUCACUGAUUACCUUUCUAGGGUUUUCGGUCAAUUGUGCUAUGCUUUCUUUAUUAUGUUCUGCACUUGUUCAUCUUCGCCUAUGAUAUUCUCUGUGUUCUGACUUGUAAUUGGAACCCUAAUUUCUAAGGGUAUUUUCCAUUCUUCUUUGUUUGUGAAACCCUAACAGCCUAAUUGAUUUCUUGUACGUGUUUUGCUCAGACUUAUGCAUCUUUUAUAGUAUCAUCUUCCCUUUUUCUGAAACCUUAAUUGAUUUUGGUACAACUGUAUGAUUCUCUAUUGUUCCCUGUUUUCUGACUAAGUUCGAAUGCUACUAGUAUCUUGACUCCUUGAUUGUCUGGGUAAUUACCUGCCUUAUAUAUUCAACCGUGUGAUUUUCAAAUUUCUUAUAUGCAUCUACCCCUAUAUUCUGUGAUUACUACUAUAUUUUCUUUCCAAAAUUAGACCUGGGCUUAUUUAUUUUUCCAUUCGGUUCCUUAAUUGAAGGGGUUCCCUUCUCCUUAAUUGAUAUGGAUUGAUUUCUGAAUAUUUCCUUGCAUUGUUGGUGCCUCUUUUCCAAACUAUAAAUAGGUUCUCUCUUU